rnacentral:rRNA from 1 species
UGUACCUACGGGACGCAGCAGUGGGGAAUAUUGCGCAAUGGGCGAAAGCCUGACGCAGCGACGCCGCGUGAGCGAUGAAGUAUUUCGGUAUGUAAAGCUCUAUCAGCAGGGAAGAAAAUGACGGUACCUGACUAAGAAGCCCCGGCUAACUACGUGCCAGCAGCCGCGGUAAUACGUAGGGGGCAAGCGUUAUCCGGAUUUACUGGGUGUAAAGGGAGCGUAGACGGCUUGGCAAGCCAGAUGUGAAAGGCUGGGGCUCACCCCCAGGACUGCAUUUGGAACUGUCAUGCUAGAGUGUCGGAGAG